rnacentral:lncRNA from 1 species
GGUCUUUACUGCUGUAGAUUUGGCUAGAGCUAGAGGCUUACCUUAGCAUUCUUGGGUUUCCCAGAUUCCUCACUGUCUACCUGACUGUGCAGUAGACCCUGGCUCAUCAGGAGUAAGAAACCAUGACAGAAGAAAGAUCAGCACAUCCCUGAGCCUUUAUCAAAGAGACCGAGAGAUGGAGUAAAGUACUUCAACUAACCACGUCUUUCAGUCUGUCCUCGAGAGUGCAAAGAAGGGCUGUAGGAAGAGGAAACAUCAGAGGCUGCAAAGAAGAGGAAGAGGCUGAAAUAGAGAGACUGGCACAGGGCAAGUGCUGUCUGGGACUGAGGGAAAAUGACAACAAACAAUUCGACCUUGCACUUACUUCAAGAUCCUCUACCCAGCACUGCCUUAAGAGCUCCAUUUCGGCACUCAGAUUAAAGUGCUGCAGCUCAAAACACAGCCUUGCCAACUUGGCUCCAGGGAAGGAGCAGCCAUUGGAACAAUGCAGGCAAUUUAAUCGUGUUGCAGAGAGGAGUAAGCCCAAGUCUGGAGGCUUUACUGGAACGGAAUGCAAUUCCCUCGUCCCAGUAGGAAGAAUGAAAGUGGGGCUGAGGUGGACAAAAGACAACAUCCAAAAUGACAUAAAAAUUAACCACCCAACUCAAUGAAUUACCCACGAGAUAAUGGGAUAAAUGUUUGUGAGUCAGACCAAAGAGCAAAAACAGAACAGAAAGAAAGAAUUCUCAACUGUAGGCUGAAACCUUUCUACUUCGUUCUGUGAGGCAAAAUCUCAGUCUCUCUCUUUCCACUUAAGUUCAGGUUUUAAAACUCGGUUGUUCUCUAUGGAAUUGAAGCCUGUGUAGACCAUUGUGUGUAGCUGUAUUUCAAAUACUGUUCUCUCUGUUAUCACUCAAACUCCUAGUUAUUCAGUUUGACCUGAAGUUAAAGAACAGAAUUGUUUCAUGCUUUAAAAUUACUUCCCACUAUUUUAUAGAGAUAAAAACAAGUUAUGAAAAAAAAACCCUUAGGUAUAAGCCAAGUUAGAGUUCAUAAUUAAGAUUACCAGAAUAAAAACCAUAGUCAUAUGUCUGUUCCCCUAUUUCUCAUCCUAAAUAUGUUUUUUUUGGUGGGGGGCAGUUUAGUUAAACAUAAAAUGUUUAUUGUCCAUUGCUGUAGUAAAAAUUACUUGGGGGUUAACCCCAUUCUUGAUCAUAUUGUUCCUAAGUAAAUGACACAACCCUUUAUAUUUAUAAUAAUCUUUAAAGCACUAGAGCUGGGAAGAUGUCAACUCUCCAUGGUAUUUUGUCUAAUUCACUAAAUCUGAGAUAUCACUUGCUAUGUUCCCCUUGGUCCUCUCCAACUCGGACUGGCCAGCCCUCGUGGCCGUGUUCUCACUAGCCACCUAUCCAAUGUCAUCUUCUCCCCUCUCCUCUCUCUUCUUCUCCUCAUGGUCUCUGCCUCAGACUCCAAUUCUGGGAACCAAAGCUCUGCCUACCUCUCUUCUGCCCAGCCAUAGGUUGUAGGCUUCUUUUUUUAGCCAAUGGUUUUAAAUUAAGGAGCAAGGUUGCAUAGCAUCACUUGGUAUAUAUGCAGAUGUGCUUGUCAAGGACAGCAACAUCUUGAGAAGCCAGUAUUUAGCAUUAGAAUAUAAGCAUCAUCAGACUCACCCUCUACAGUCCAUUGUACCUAUGAUAAUACAAUAAACAAUGAUUAAGCAGCCUGUAUUUGAUUGGUUAUGAUGUGGUACCAUGGGAGUGAUGGCUCAAUGGUUAAGAGAACUUGCUACUUUUCCAGUGGACCCGAGUUCAUGUUUCUUCACCUGUGUCAGGCUGAUUAUAACUACCUGAAAUGCCCAGGGGAAAUGAUGUCCUCUUCUGGCAUCUGCACACACGAGACACACAACACAUGGGACACACAUGCACGUAACUAAAAAAUCUGUUAUAAAGAAAAACUAAU